AACGUAGGAGACAAACGUUAUCCGGAGUUACUGGGCGUAAAGGGCGUGUAGGCGGUUUGUUAAGUCUGGCGUGAAAGCUCUCGGCUAAACCGGGAGAGGUCGUUGGAUACUGGCAAACUAGAGGAUGGUAGAGGCGUGUGGAAUUCCGGGUGUAGUGGUGAAAUGCGUAGAGAUCGGGAGGAACACCUGUGGCAAAGGCGGCCGACUGGGCCGACCCUGACGCUGAGGCGCGAAGGCGUGGGGAGCGAACGGG
rnacentral:rRNA from 1 species